rnacentral:rRNA from 1 species
AGCGAACGCUGGCGGCAGGCCUAACACAUGCAAGUCGAACGAAGUCUUCGGACUUAGUGGCGGACGGGUGAGUAACACGUGGGAACGUGCCCUUAGGUUCGGAAUCACUCAGGGAAACUUUAGCUAAUACAGAAUGUGCCCUUCGCGGGAAAGAUUUAUCGCCUUUAGAGCGGCCCGCGUCUGAUUAGCUAGUUGGUGAGGUAAAGGCUCACCAAGGCUACGAUCAGUAGCUGGUCUGAGAGGAUGACCAGCCACAUUGGGACUGAGACACGGCCCAAACUCCCACGGGAGGCAGCAGUGGGGAAUCUUGCGCAAUGGGCGAAAGCCUGACGCAGCAAUGCCGCGUGGAUGAUGAAGGUCUUAGGAUUGUAAAAUCCUUUCACCGGUGAAGAUAAUGACUGUAGCCGGAGAAGAAGCCCCGGCUAACUUCGUGCCAGCAGCCGCCGUAAGAC